rnacentral:misc_RNA from 1 species
AGAAAAUAAGGAAAAAAGUCAGUGUAAGGAAUUUUCAGAUUUGAGAAGUGAAGAAUAUAUCUGAGGUACUUUAAAUAUACGAUGCGCUAUGGGAAGUUUACGACAAAUAACGAAAUUGAGUGAAAAUGGUGUCCGGAUUUUCUGUUCCCAACUAAAGAAUCUAGAAAAUAAUUCAAUUCUACUGAGGGUCAGUGGAAUUCGCACCAGCAAUGGGCUUCGCAAUGCAGGAACAAAGGCUGACGUUGAUGAAAAUAUAAAGAAAUUUAAAGAGGAAAAUUUUGAAAAAAUUCCAGACCCCGAACAGCUCGAUCACUUCAGAAUUUCACAGGAAAACACAGAGCACAGAUCAACUGGUGGAGUCAAUGAAGAACCCUCCCCCAAUGGGCACGCACACACUGCCCCACCCAAUAUGGUCUGAAGAAGAACUUCAUAGUGUGAAGGUCACACAUAAACCGCCCGAGGGAUUCGUAGACAAGACGGAUUUGCUUCCUAGAGACUGUCGCUGGAGUUCCAGGGAUGGUGGCAGCGAUGACGCGACAUUUACACUCUUUGCGCCGACUCAAGCGGGAUCACGGCUGGAUUCAUACCCUUUUAGAGGAAGCAGAAAACGAAAGAAUGCAUCUGAUGACAGCAUUGCAGCUUCGACAACCAUCUUGGUUAUUUAGAAGUGGCGUCAUCGUGUCUCAGGGUGCUUUCGUCACGAUGUUCAGCAUUGCCUAUCUGCUAAGCCCUCGGUUUUGUCAUCGGUUCGUUGGCUAUCUAGAGGAGGAAGCAGUGUUUACUUACUCAAAAUGUUUGAAGGAUAUAGAGUCAGGGUCCCUUAAACACUGGCAAAUAAAAGCAGCACCCGACGUGGCUAUCCGCUAUUGGAAACUCCCAAAUAACGGAACAAUGAAAGACGUCAUAUUUAACAUCCGAGCAGACGAGGCUAAUCACCGGAAAUGAACCAUGUUCUGGCAUCCAUGAAAACCGACCAGUACAACCCAUUUCUACCCGGUCAGUAGUUUUAAAUCAGACCCUUAAUGUGCCUCAUCUCUGUUUACAGGAAACUGCAUCCAUGAAGGAUGUAGUGUUGGCAAUUCGAGCAGAUGAGGCUCACCAUAGGGUCGUGAACCAUACUCUGGCUUCCAUGAAAGAAGACGAAUACAAUCCUUAUGAGCCAGGGAAGUGAUAUGGAAGCAGAGAAAACAGUGUUAACAUUCUGUAGUUAUACUGUGAAGACAUCUCACUGUGGAAAUGCACAUUACUUGCCUUUGAUACAAUGUACAUGUACAUGUAGUAAGUAAGCAGUAGAGAUGAAUGUCCAUCUAUAUAAGAUAAUUCAGACCAUGUAUAAAACAAAGUUGGUUUUUUUGCAGAAUUCGUCUGUUAGUAUUCCCUUGUGGGAUUUAAAAAAAACCCACCUUGACCGAUGAGAGAAUCAAUGACUGAAUAGUUAAUCUAUACGUGUACACAUACGAUGUAAAAAAAAGACAGUCUGUCUUCCUGAGGUAGUUUCUAUUCGUGUUAAAGAUUUAGAAUAAGCGAAAUGGCACAAAUGUUACCAUAUGUACUUAAUUUAUUCUAUCUGUUGACUAUGUUGAUCUGUAUGAGUUGUAGAUAACUACUCCACAGUGCUUUGCACUCUGAAUGUGUUUUGUAGCGUUUUAUCUCUUUGUUUUUAUUUGUUUGACAUGUAUGUUAUUUAAAAACCCAACCCAG